UGGGGAAUCUUGCGCAAUGGGCGAAAGCCUGACGCAGCGACGCCGCGUGAGUGAUGAAGGCCUUCGGGUUGUAAAGCUCUGUGGGGAGAGAAGAAUAAGUGCAGGCUAAUACCCUGCAUGAUGACGGUAUCUCCUUAGCAAGCACCGGCUAACUCUGUGCCAGCAGCCGCGGUAAGACAGAGGGUGCAAACGUUGUUCGGAAUUACUGGGCGUAAAGCGAGUGUAGGCGGUUUGGUAAGUCGGAUGUGAAAGCCCCGGGCUCAACCCGGGAAGUGCACUCGAUACUGCCAAGCUAGAGUAUCGGAGAGGUUGGUGGAAUUCUCGGUGUAGAGGUGAAAUUCGUAGAUAUCGAGAGGAACACCGGUGGCGAAGGCGGCCAACUGGACGAAUACUGACGCUGAGACUCGAAAGCGUGGGGAGCAAACA
rnacentral:rRNA from 1 species